rnacentral:rRNA from 1 species
CCACAUCACGUUGAAACACUAGUUCCCGUACGAUCACCGAAGUUAAGCAACGUCGAGCCUGAUCAGUACCUACAUGAGUGACCGUUCAGGAAUACCAAGUGCUGUAAG